GAUGAACGCUGGCGGCGUGCCUAAUACAUGCAAGUCGAGCGAACAGACGAGGAGCUUGCUCCUCUGACGUUAGCGGCGGACGGGUGAGUAACACGUGGAUAACCUACCUAUAAGACUGGGAUAACUUCGGGAAACCGGAGCUAAUACCGGAUAAUAUAUUGAACCGCAUGGUUCAAUAGUGAAAGACGGUUUUGCUGUCACUUAUAGAUGGAUCCGCGCCGCAUUAGCUAGUUGGUAAGGUAACGGGUUACCAAGGCGACGAUGCGUAGCCGACCUGAGAGGGUGAUCGGCCACACUGGAACUGAGACACGGUCCAGACUCCUACGGGAGGCAGCAGUAGGGAAUCUUCCGCAAUGGACGAAAGCCUGACGGAGCAACGCCGCGUGAGUGAUGAAGGUCUUCGGAUCGUAAAACUCUGUUAUUAGUGAAGAACAAAUGUGUAAGUAACUAUGCACGUCUUGACGGUACCUAAUCAGAAAGCCACGGCUAACUACGUG
rnacentral:rRNA from 1 species